GCAGGCGAGGGUCAUGUGCCAGUUAUUUGAUGGGAGCUUGCUGAGGCCUUUAAGAACUGCCCUGGCCCUCAGAGGGUGUCCAGUUGCUUAUCCCUACGCUCUGCUUUGCUUCAGGCCUGGUUCCGAUUCCUGUCUGUAAUAGAGGAUGAGUAUUGUGAUGUUCACAGUGUGAUAUGAUAGAGGACUGCAGAUCGAUGCUCUUGAUAAAUGCGAGAGGAUUGUUUUCUCUCUUCUAGUAUUUUUAGAGAAUACAGAGUUAAAGAAAAUCAUACGUC
rnacentral:lncRNA from 1 species